rnacentral:rRNA from 1 species
UACGUAGGUGACAAGCGUUGUCCGGAUUUACUGGGCGUAAAGAGCGCGCAGGCGGUCGUUCAAGUCGAGUGUGAAAGCCCCCGGCUCAACUGGGGAGGGUCAUUCGAUACUGAUCGACUCGAAGGCAGGAGAGGGAAGUGGAAUUCCCGGUGUAGUGGUGAAAUGCGUAGAUAUCGGGAGGAACACCAAUGGCGAAGGCAGCUCGCUGGGACGUGACUGACGCUGAGACGCGAAAGCGUGGGGAGCAAACAGG